rnacentral:lncRNA from 1 species
CUUGCCGGCUGUGGACUACAAAUGGCCGCGCGCGGUGGCCGUCGGCCAGUCAGCGGCUUCGAAGAAGGGUGGCCGCGGGCUACGGCGGCCGGCAGGGGGCGGCAGCGGCCGUUGCCCAGGGUGCGGAGGCGGGGUCGGGGGCCUGGAGCACUGCGAGCCCGGCGGGCCACGACUGGUGCGGGCUGAGGCCAUGGGCGACCGAGGCGGCACGGUCAGCUCCCGGCGCCGGAGGACCAGUUCGCGGCCCUCCGGCCAGGGUGGCGGCGGGCCGGUGGGAGCGGAAGAGGAGGUGCGGGACGGGGCUCCGGGCCCCGACGUGGGCGCUGGGGGCGACGCGCCGGCCCCGGCCGCCGCCUCGGACAAGGACGGAGACUCUAACGUGGGCAGCGGACACUGGGAGCUGAGGUAACGGAGCGCUUGACCCCUCGCCUAUGACCCCAGGCCCCGGGACUCUCCCGGUCAGAGUGGCCAGAGCAGUGAGUCCGGAGACGUGUCCCUCUUGGGCACCGCGGGUGCACUGAGACUUUCGGGGGAGGGUCACCUGCCAAGGUCACCCAGGUCAGGGCCAGGAGCUGGCCUUCCUGGCCAGACAGAGGGGAGCGGAGGAACAGCCCCUUUUCCAAAACACUUGGGCUUGUGCACAGUCAACUGGGUCCAAAGGCCCUUUAUGAGGGGCCAGCUGGCGGCCUGGUCCCCUCCUGGGUGCAUCUGAUGGGGGGCCUUGUGGUGAAGGGGUUCUUUUGAGGGCUGUGAGGGAUAGGUGCCAGUAGGGAAGGCUCCCCAAAGAGGAUUGGCCUGCCAGGGAGGGUCUGGCAGGACUCGGCUUGUCUGAAGGCAGGAGUGAGUGCAGGAGACCUUCUUAUUGUUGCAGACCUUCCUGAGUGGUGGCCUGGCCCAUCAUCCCUCACCCAGUGGUUAGAGACCUGUUUACGGUACCAGAAUGAGUGCUGCUAUGGAGAGUUGGGUCUUGUGUGAGGACUUUCAUCCCCUGGUUGUAGUACAGGAGAGGGGUUUGAUGGGGACACACCUACCAGUGGGGCCCUGCUUAGCUGAAAGAAGGACAGGAAGGGGUGGAGGACUUGGCCUGCCUGGGCCUGGGUCUUCCCCAAAUCUCCCUUUCUUGUCACGAUUCUCAGAUUCUCAGGGACUCUGGCAUAGGGGGCAGCUAAGGGGCUAGGAGGAAGGGCUGAUUGGCAAGAAUUUGCUUUCUCAGUAAACAAGAACUGAGGCUUUCUUUACCUAGCACUCUAGGGAGGGGGCUGAGGGAGGGCAGCUGGGGUACAGGCCCUGUCACUCUCCUUGGUGGUGCUCACAGUUCACCUGGGAGAUAAGAUAACCUCAGUGUGAGGCAGACAUGGCACACUGUGAACAAAGGUCGGAUGAGGAGGCCAUGAAGAUACCAUGGGGGAGGAGGCUGGCCCUCUUAAGAGGGGCACUGGCUUCUUGGCGCCUGGGAAUGUACUGAGGGAGGCUGGUCCAGUACCUCCUGCCUGAAUAGGAGUUGAGGGCCCUAUUCAGGCUCUAUUCUCUGUUAAAUGCCCCAAGUUGCCCUCCAGAAGGCUGGGUGAUGGCUUGUAUGAUUUCCAGAGGGGUUGGGAAUUGGGGUUAUUUUGUGUGAGAUUGAUAGGGAGGUCCCUACUGGGCCAAGCUACAACCUAGGGUUAGGCAGGGGAGAGCAGUCACAUAUCUUCUUUGCACUGGCCAGUGAGCCUUUUCUGUGUCCCUGCUGUAUGAAGCCAGUGGGAGAGGAGGAGGGUCUCCCUGGGAAGAGGAAUAGUAGAUGGCAGCAAUAGGGCCAUCCAGGGCUGGAAAGUGAGCUAGCUGAUUAUCCAUUUGUGGGUCUUCAGGACAAGUAGGCUCUGUAUGCUUAUCUCUCCACCCUGGGGAGGCAGCAGGGCUUGAGGAUUGCUGGUUGGGGUGCUAGACUCCAUUCUCCUUGCUGUCAGGCCAGUCCUUGCUCUGGCUAUGUUCCCUGAACUUGGCCUGUAGCUCACCCCUUUGUCACCCUUUUCUCACCAGUUUUGUUUCCUACUUUUGGCCUAGCCAGCCUUCCUCUCCCCCUUCCUUCUGACUCCUUGAGCUCUGGCCUCUUCCCCUCCCCAACACUUCCUGCUCACCUGGGACUGGGCAGGCAAGCUAGGCUCUGGGUAUGAGCUCAUUUCUUCUGCCCUGUGGCAAGGUAAGGCUGUGAGGCAGGAAGGGGAGGUACUCCUUACUCUGCCUCCUGUUUACCCUUCCAGGCUCUGCAGACUCCCACUGGUCCUUAGUUCACAGGCACCCUAGGCAUGAUCUUGUGGUUUUGAGGUUCUCCUAGGUGUUUGUCCCUGGGUGUCCUACCUACCUCUCCAGCAGAGUGUGAGAGGCAUGGGGAGCCUGUCCCAACCAUCUGGUACUCCAGAGGUUGUUGUAGAGGAAGUGCUGAAGAGGUGGCAGCUGGGAGGGGAGCCAGCUCUCUGCUCCCCUCUUUGCUCUGCUUGGCCUUGGAGCUUGACUUUGUGGUCCAAGAGGUCCACACUUAAAAGCUGUCUUUGGGCAUGGUAUAGACCUUGGCAAGUGCAUCAUGGGGAUGCACAAUGCCCAUGUGAUAUUGAGUGUGGGGCAAGAAGGAGAGGGCACCCCUUCCUGCUCUGCCUGCAGUUCACCUGGGUGGGCUUGGGGCUGCAGGAGGGAGAGAGGGCUGUUACAGGUCCUCUUGGUCCCAGGGAGUGGGCGUAGGACAGUUGGAAGGUGCAUGGCAUGGGCAGGCUCUCUAGCAGGUGAAAGGAGGAAAAAAGUAUCUUGGGCAUGGCUGGACAGCACUCUCCUGCUUUGCAGCCUGCCCUCUAGCCCAUUUGCUGCUGACUACACUGGCAAGCCUGGGCCUUUGUGGGCAUUGGAGUAGGGGGGCUUCCUCCCCUGGGUCAGGGGCCUGCAUCAGGGGAUGGGGUCCCACCUGCAGUAGCUGGUGGACCUGAGGUAUGGGUGUGUGCCAUUGAGGAAGGCCUUGAAGCCCAACAAGAGGGAUCCGAAGAAGCCCUUGUGUGGCUUUCUGGCAUUGGCCUUGGAAUGCAAAACCCUUUCCCUGCUACUGUCUUCAUCUUGGUAAUGGUCACAGAUAAAGCAGCAUACUCUUGGUGGCCCAAAGGGGGCAGAGGUCACACUGUUGUGAAACAGCCAUGUGGUGUGAAGACAGCUGGACAUUCGGUAGGUCGUAGUAUAAGGAGGCUGGCCAGGCUUUGGGAUAAUUCUGGUGAAAGUGAAUGGGCUCUAGCUUGCCAGAGAGGGGGGCAGUUGAGAGGUCCUCUCCAGUGGACAGGCCCACAGAGGCUAUCCUUCUUGCCUCAUGGUAUUGGGGCUCUGGGGAGGGCAGACAUCUGAGUGAAGCCAGUUGGGGGGUGCCCAGGGGGAAACAGUUGGAAAAGCAGAUACAGACUUCGGGUGAAGAAGGGCUCAGGUAGAGACCACAGUUUCACUGUAUGGCUUAAGGUGGACCUAGUGGAGAUACAGGAAGCCCAGGACUGAGUUUGGGAGAGAGUGUUGGAUAAUGGCAGGGGCUGAAGUUGGAGUGGAGCUGCCUUGUAUUCCUGCCUGAGACAGGCAGUAGGAGAGGUGUUACCACCCUCCCGGUGUCCAGAGGCUGCCAGGGGUAGUGUGGAUGGUACCAGGCUCUGAGCAGACACCUGGGGUGCAAAGGUUGAGUCUGUUGGCACUGCCCCUUAGCCUCCUUGGUCCCUCUCCUUCUAGGUGGGGCUGCCUUUGAUCAGAACCAGACUUGCUUCUGGGGACUGAAGCAAGCCAACUCUGAGAGGGCAUCCGUGCCAUAGUGCUGGUCACGGGCUCCUCUACUUUCUCCCCCUGCUUACAUGCCCUGAGAGGGAGAUUGUGUUGGGGGAGGGAAGGGGAGGCUCUGGCUUCUGCUCUUACAAAACUAAAGCCUUACUCAAUGCCACAUGGGGCUUCCUGGAGGCAUAGCAGCUGGAGGGCAAGGCAGGGUCAUAGUUGGUAUGAGUGAGCCAGGGUACUGGUUCCUGGGGUGUGGGCUCUGGCCUUGCUCGUGUUUGUUGUUGCCAGGAGCUGGGUCUGGACCUUAUCUCAGCCAUAUCACCUGGCCCCUUUGCCAGGCCUAGGUACUCCUCUUCACAGGCAGGGUCUUUUGGGAGUGUCUCCUACCCUAGCACUUGGUGGAAAUGUUCCUGGUUUGAGGCCUGCUUCUGCCAGAAGCUUCUCUGCCAUCAGGUCCUGGCCCCCUAGUGAUCUCCUCUUGGCAUUCCCAGCCUAGGCAGGAACAUUGCAUUUACCAUAAAAGCACAUGAGGUCUGAGUCACUGCCCCCAGAAAGGUGCACGUUAGGCUGGGAGGCUGGGCUGGCCAUAGGACUGGGUCAUUGCCCACUCAGGCUUGGGAGUCUAAAUGUGGGGAGGAGGCUCAUCUGGGCUCUGGUGUCUGCAGACCCUUUAAUUUAUUGGGUGGGUAGAAUGGGUGGACUGAGCAGGGUGGACUCCACCCCCACAUCUUUUUUCCCAACAGUGCUGGGUGGGUCCACAGAUCCCCAAGUUGUAUUCUUCUGGUGGCCUGAGAGCCUGAUUUCAGUCAGGGCCCUCUGGGGAGCAAAGCCAGGCUCCUGACCCGGGGUGCUCAAGCCCCAUAUAAACUUGGUCAGCUCCUUCCUGUCUUUUAUGAAUCUUCUCUGCCUAGAGGAAAAGGCCUCUGCAUGGUCCUGAGAGUUUUGCCUACUAUAGGCCAUAUGGCUGCUGGUAUAACCUUUUCUGGGUCCUCCCCUUGAAGAAUGGGGUACGUGGGCAGAAGAGACAGUUGGCGGGGGAUGGGUCACAACAGUGGGCCCAUCUCUGCCCUCUGGCAUCUGCUCACCAAGGGGCCUAUUCCCUACCUUGUCAGGUGCCAUCGCCUACAGGAUUCUUUGUUCAGCUCUGACAGUGGCUUCAGCAACUACAGAGGCAUCCUGAAUUGGUGUGUGGUGAUGCUGGUGAGUAGGAUGGGGUAUGGAAGCAGGCCCACCUGUGGCCAGGUGUGGCAAAGCUUUCCAGGUGGGCCUUUUUCUGAGCACAGGCUGUGCCUCAGGCAUGUGGGAGCUAGUGCUAAUGUGGGCUGGGGUGCCUGGGGCAUGUUGCAGCUGCCCUGAGAAGGCUGUUGCUCCAUAUGGCUUAUAGCCCUGGAUAGUGGGGGAAGCAAGGGUGUUCCCUGCAGUGGCCACACAGAGGUCCUGUUGGGUCCUAGGUUAGCCUGUGGAGGCCAUGUGGUUAGUGGGGAGGCUGAGCAGUGCACUCUGGGCAGAAGGACUCUUCACUGAGAAAAGUGCCUCAGGAGUACAGAUCCCCCUGGCUGUACUGGGGUGGCAUGGGAAGGCAGAGAGAAGAAGGGGAGUGUUGAGUGGCGCCAGGGCUGAGAGGCUUUUGGGGACUGAGCAUGGGGUGCUCUAUGGGUACAAAGCUUUCCUGGAAAGGUGGAGAGGUCUUGCCAGUCCUGUGCCAGUGGUGUCAAGGGCAUGGCGUCUUCUCCUGGCCCCUCUCCCUUAGCCUUGGGUCCUGGUGAAUGGAGAGUCCUUUGCCAUAUCCAAGGUCUGCUGUCUCUAAGACCUCAUUCCACUACUUUGUGGGGUCAGGCCAACAGCCCCACCCCAGAGGCUCAAAAGGGCAGGCAGCCUGUAGGGCAGGUCAGGGGCAAGCUUCCAUCACUCAGGGCUGAUGUGGCCUGAGGCCUUCUGUUCUCAUUGGGAUGUGAACACCUCUAGUUUGGGUACAGCUCUUAUGGUUGCCCAGGUGGAAGGGCUUUGUGUAUACUAUACCCUGCGGUGUCCUGAACUUCCAGCACUGUUAGCCUGGAGAGGGCCUUGGUCUCAGUCAGCUAUAGGAGGCCACAAACUCUAGGGUGGGUGAGUAGCUGGUACCACAUUGGGAAUGUGGGUCCAAGGCCAACCUGAUCCUCAGGAGAUGAAAUGUCCCACUUCUUUCCCGGGCUGGGUCUAUAAGAGUUAUCUCAGCCAGCCUGGGUAGUACUGUCUGUUCUCUUGCAACCCACUGGGCCUGCCUGGCUCUUGGGCACAAUCCCACAGCCUUUCCCCUGCUCUGGGCCCUCCACCACCUCCUCCCUAAAGAAGGUCAUGCAUCUUGGGCUCCAGCUGCCUGCUGUGGCCUCUCAGGAGAGGUCACGCAAUGCAGUUGAUGAGGUGGGGUCACGUGUGUUGGGGCAGCAGGCUGGCUGCAGUUGGGGGAGGUGGCUCCUGUGUCCCUGAGCUUGUCAUCUCUGUAAAGCCUUCCCUGACCACCCAGGCAAGGACCCCACCAGUGUUCCCUUGCCAAUGUUGCUGUUCUAUUUACACUGUGCAGGGCCUGUUCUCUGGGCAGAUGGCCAGGUUGAUGGCAUCAGGGCCCACCUCCUUGGGUGCAGGUGGUUCUUGUAAGAGCAGGGAGGACAAGUACCUAGUCCCAAGCCAGAGCUGGGAGCCUGUUUCAGUGGGGGCUCAGCCCUUGGAGACACCACUAGGGCUUAAGUAUUUCAGGAAGAGCUGAGGCAGGGGAAGGGCUAAGUACCUCUACCCUGCUCCUCAAUGCCUGCACUUGCCCCGCAGGAACCAGCCUGGCUUGUGGGGUGGUGGGCAAGAAUGGGCAGCUCUUCCUCUUCAGCCUGGGCUGCUAGUAGGUAGUGGUCCUUGGAGAUUAGUUUUGGGCAGGUUCCCUGGGCAAGCAAGUGUGGGCUUUGAGACCACCAUAGUAGUGACAGGCUGUGGGGUAAGCUGGGGCUUCCUCACCAGCUCAGCUAAGCUGGCAGUAUGAGGGCUACUGAACAUUGGGUCUCAGUCCAUCACUCCAGGUGCUAACCAAGAUGUGGGCAUCUCCUAGAUAGUGUUAGUGGGGUUGCUACUUCUCUUUGCCCCCACACUGAUAUGUGAUAAGGUAGAUGGUGAGUUUCAGAGCUUGGCGUGGAGAGCAGAUGGAGCUGGGUCUAUAAGAAUGAGGCUGUUGCCUGCCUAGGGCCUCUGGCCCCAGAGGUGCUGUGGGGAGUUGGAAGGUGCUGGGUGGGUGGGGUGCCCUGGUGCCAGUACCACCAUGCUGAUCUAUUGAUUAUCUACAGAUCCUGAGCAAUGCACGAUUAUUUUUAGAGAACCUCAUCAAGUGAGUAUUUUUUUCUGGGCCCCAUAUAACCUACCACCAGGCCAAGGCCCCACCCCCAUUCAGACCUCCUUGCCCUACCCCCAGGUAUGGCAUCUUGGUGGACCCUAUCCAGGUGGUGUCUCUGUUCUUGAAGGACCCCUACAGCUGGCCUGCCCCAUGUCUGGUUAUUGGUGAGCUGGGUUCUGAGGAGGGCCAUGGGUGGGGGGACCAGGCUGACCUGUCCUGAACCUUCUCUAUGGUAUUUCUGUCCUCAGUGGCCAAUGUCUUUGCUGUGGCUGCAUUCCAGGUUGAGAAGCGCCUGGCCGUGGUAAGCAGUCCCUUGUGACCUGCCCCAGGUCAGCUCUCAUCAACUGCACUUACAGGGUGAGGGCCCUGAAUGACUGUUCUGCUCUUCACAGGGCACCCUGACGGAACAGGCAGGGUUGCUGCUGCAUGUUGCCAACCUGGCCACCAUCCUUUGCUUCCCAGCAGCAGUGGCCUUACUGGUUGAGUCCAUCACUCCAGGUGUGCCCCCACCCAUCCGUCCCAGCCCACACUGGGCUCAGCCUGUAUGGCAUGGAUCCCCCAUGGUGCAUGGGGGCCAUGGUUGAGCCUGCCUCUCCCACAGUGGGCUCUGUACUGGCUCUGGCAGCAUACACCAUACUCUUCCUCAAGCUCUUCUCCUAUCGGGACGUCAACCUGUGGUGCCGCCAGCAUAGAGCCAGGGCUAAGACUGGUGAGGCUGGUGAAUGAGAACUUGUCUGUGGGUGGGCCUGGGUGGCAUGGGUCCACCCUGGUGUCCCAUCUGUUUUGCUUGCAGUCUCUGCAGGGAAGAAGGCCAGUGGGGCCACUGCCCAGCGCACGGUGAGCUACCCGGACAACCUGACCUACCGCGGUGAGGACCUGUGGGGCCAGGUCCCAGGGGUGGGGGUCAGGGGCAGGGUCAAGUCUGUACUGGUUCCAGCUCCUCUCUUCCCUUCCAGAUCUCUACUACUUUAUUUUUGCUCCCACCCUGUGUUAUGAACUCAAUUUCCCUCGCUCCCCCCGAAUUCGAAAACGCUUUCUGUUGCGGAGGCUCCUUGAGAUGGUGAGGUUUAGGGCUGAGGGAGCCACUGGGGGUGGGAGGGAUUUGUGGCUGGUGGUGCUAGGUUCUCAGCUGGCUGCUCUUUGGCUCUUCCCCCCAGCUGUUCUUUACCCAGCUCCAGGUGGGGCUGAUCCAGCAGGUAAGUGGGUGAGAAGGUGGGUGGCAGGGGCCAGAUGCAGCCGGAUACUGAUCUGGUGCCCUCCUUUGCAGUGGAUGGUCCCCACCAUCCAGAAUUCCAUGAAGCCCUUCAAGGUGAGCAGCUGGGCUCUCCUGUGGCUGGGGUAGGUUGGGUGGGGGCCACAGCCGCUGAGGCAGCCUGUCUCUUCAGGAUAUGGACUACUCUCGAAUCAUUGAGCGCCUCCUGAAGCUCGCUGUGAGUACUAGCAGUGGGCAGGGUGGGGGAGCACAAGUGGCAGGUGGGCAUCUGGAACCUGGAGCCCCCUCCCUUACAGGUCCCAAAUCACCUCAUCUGGCUCAUCUUCUUCUACUGGCUCUUCCACUCCUGCUUGAAUGCUGUGGCGGAACUCAUGCAGUUUGGAGACCGGGAGUUCUACCGGGAUUGGUGGUGGGUGGCCUUGAGGGUGGCCCUGGGGACUGGGGUGGGCUGCAGCAUGCCUUGCUCACCCCAUUGUCUCUCAACAGGAACUCUGAGUCUGUCACCUACUUCUGGCAGAACUGGAACAUCCCCGUGCACAAGUGGUGCAGCAGGUGCGUGAGUGCUGUGUGUGCAUGUGUAGGAUGUAGGUGUGCACCUGGGCCUCUCCCUGUCCUAGGGCAUCAUCCUGUAGCCUCCUUCCCUUGCAGGCACUUCUACAAGCCCAUGCUACGCCGGGGUAGCAGUAGGUGGGUGGCCAGGACAGGGGUGUUCCUGGCCUCCGCCUUCUUCCACGAGGUCAGUGCUGUGAGGGCAUCCUGCCUCACCUCUGGGCAGGGGUGUAGCCACUGAGACAUUGAUGGCCUAUUCUCUCCUCACCCUAGUACCUCGUAAGCAUCCCCCUGCGAAUGUUCCGCCUCUGGGCGUUCACAGCCAUGAUGGCUCAGGUGAGCAACACCCCAAAUGCCUCACCCACCUGAACCCUGUGCCAAGCCCCAUUCCCUGUGGUUACUGCCUGCUGACCUUGGUCCUAUGUGUCCUCAGAUCCCAUUGGCCUGGAUUGUGGGCCGCUUCUUCCAGGGCAACUAUGGAAAUGCAGCUGUGUGGCUGACACUCAUCAUUGGGCAACCAGUGGCGGUGCUCAUGUAUGUCCAUGACUACUACGUGCUCAACUAUGAGGCUCCCACAGCAGGGGCCUGAACUGCCCAGGCUUGACUGCCCACAUCCAGGACAGACAGCCCUCCCUGCCUGUCCAAACCUGAGGGAACCUGGCUGCUGAGCCUUCCUCCUGCCCCAGGAGGCCUCUCUGCCCCUAUGGGGCUCCCUCCUGCUCCCCUUAGGGAUGGCAACAGUAGAGUCUGGCCCAGCUGGCAGGAGCCAGUGCCUUCUUUGGGAGUCUGUGCUGACUUGGGAAAGAGGGUGCCAAUAAAGUGCUGUCUAGAGUGA